rnacentral:rRNA from 1 species
GACGAACGCUGGCGGCGUGCUUAACACAUGCAAGUCGAACGAUGAAGCUGGAGCUUGCUCCGGUGGAUUAGUGGCGAACGGGUGAGUAACACGUGAGCAAUCUGCCCUUGACUCUAGGAUAACUGCGGGAAACUGUAGCUAAUACCGGAUACGAGAUUUGGAGGCAUCUCCGGAUCUGGAAAGAAUUUCGGUCAAGGAUGAGCCCGCGGCCUAUCAGCUUGGUGGGGAGGUAAUGGCUCACCAAGGCGACGACGGGUAGCCGGCCUGAGAGGGGAACCGGCCACACUGGGACUGGGACACGGCCCAGACUCCUACGGGAGGCAGCAGUGGGGAAUAUUGCACAAUGGGCGAAAGCCUGAUGCAGCAACGCCGCGUGAGGGAUGAAGGCCUUCGGGUUGUAAACCUCUUUUAGUAGGGAAGAAGCGAAAGUGACGAUACCUACAGAAAAAGCACCGGCUAACUACGUGCCAGCCGCCGCGGUAA